UCCUUCCUUCUCCUUCCUCCCUCCCCCCGCCCGUCAAGCCUUUGGCAUCAUUAUCCUCAUCACUAAAUCCUACAGAGUACAGGGCGGAAAACCGUGCACAC
rnacentral:lncRNA from 1 species